GACGAACGCUGGCGGCGUGCCUAACACAUGCAAGUCGAGCGAUGAAGUUCCUUCGGGAGUGGAUUAGCGGCGGACGGGUGAGUAACACGUGGGUAACCUGCCUCGUAGAGGGGAAUAGCCUUCCGAAAGGAAGAUUAAUACCACAUAAGAUUGUAGCUUCGCAUGAAGCAGCAAUUAAAGGAGCAAUCCGCUAUGAGAUGGACCCGCGUCGCAUUAGCUAGUUGGUGAGGUAACGGCUCACCAAGGCGACGAUGCGUAGCCGACCUGAGAGGGUGAUCGGCCACAUUGGGACUGAGACACGGCCCAGACUCCUACGGGAGGCAGCAGUGGGGAAUAUUGCACAAUGGGGGAAACCCUGAUGCAGCAACGCCGCGUGAGUGAUGACGGUCUUCGGAUUGUAAAACUCUGUCUUUAGGGACGAUAAUGACGGUACCUGAGGAGGAAGCCACGGCUAACUACGUGCCAGCCGCCGCGGUAA
rnacentral:rRNA from 1 species